UAAUGGCGGGGUGCUUACCAUGCAAGUCGAACGAUGAAACCAGCUUGCUGGUGGAUUAGUGGCGAACGGGUGAGUAACACGUGAGUAACCUGCCCUUGACUCUGGGAUAAGCCUGGGAAACUGGGUCUAAUACCGGAUAUGACUGAUCAUCGCAUGGUGGUUGGUGGAAAGCUUUUGUGGUUUUGGAUGGACUCGCGGCCUAUCAGCUUGUUGGUGGGGUAAUGGCCUACCAAGGCGACGACGGGUAGCCGGCCUGAGAGGGUGACCGGCCACACUGGGACUGAGACACGGCCCAGACUCCUACGGGAGGCAGCAGUGGGGAAUAUUGCACAAUGGGCGCAAGCCUGAUGCAGCGACGCCGCGUGAGGGAUGACGGCCUUCGGGUUGUAAACCUCUUUCAGUAGGGAAGAAGCCGUGAGGUGACGGUACCUGCAGAAGAAGCGCCGGCUAACUACGUGCCAGCAGCCGCGGUAAUACGUAGGGCGCAAGCGUUAUCCGGAAUUAUUGGGCGUAAAGAGCUCGUAGGCGGUUUGUCGCGUCUGCCGUGAAAGUCCGGGGCUCAACUCCGGAUCUGCGGUGGGUACGGGCAGACUAGAGUGAUG
rnacentral:rRNA from 1 species